UUGCCAGGGCUAGGGUUCUUCGAUGGGGCUCAAGCUGCGAGCAGUGCCGAUCACGGAGGAUAAUUUCCGGCCUUGGCCAGCUCCUGGGAAAGAUCGGCGACGGAUGCGAGUAUGGAUCGGGAGACGCGCAGCUCAAUCUCGCGAAUGGGAUUCCCAGAUUCUACCUCAUGGAGCUCAAGAAAACGGGGCUGCGAUUCAAAAGGAUAACGCAUCACGCCAGGGUGACGCAGUGUCAAGCUAAACGAAGGAACUUGGCACGCUGGUCCUCUCUUUGGUGAUCGAGAUUCGAUGGUCUUCUACAACUUGGAGCUCAGUGACACCAACGUUGUGGAUCACACUAACGACGUACUGAUCGAAGAUUGAGGUGAUGGCGAGCUUAAACACUUUUUUGCGUGUCUAGAAAAGCAAAUGGUGGAAAUGAAACAAGUUCUUUGCGAGCUAAGAAUUUCAUGUCCCUUGCCAUCAAGUUGUCGAGGAGCUCCUUUUGUGCCUCGGGACACUGACUAGUAGUUGAAGGAUGUACAAGAUGAGGCUGAUGAUCCUGGUCGGAAGAAAAUUUACGAACGGGAUGACUCCCACAGACCAUGGCGUCAACUCCCUGGGUGCUGAUUAUGGUCGAAAGCCUGCUUUCUGUCGAACACGAGCGAACGGAUGCUGAGAGUAUUCAUGUAAUUUGCCUCCUGCCAGUCCAGCUCGCUACUUCCGCCAAGAACUCGGGUUACCUCAGUCAACAGCAAGAUGGAAAUGUUCCAGAAGUCUUUCUUCUUCAUGUCGGUCACAAACUCGAGCGGUGGAUGAUAUCCUUUGAAAGCGGAAAAGUACGAACUCUAUGCUUGGAAAGUUUCAAAUCAGUGUGGAGUACAAUUUCAGAAAGGAGAUCUUCUAUGCAGUGAAGGAAGCUUUAUUUUUCAUGUUGAUUAAUGUUUUCUUUCCUAUUAGAGUUCUGUUAGUGAAUUACAAUUGCGUGAGCGAAGUUGCUGCGACUUCAGAUCUCCUUUGAAAGUUUACGUGAGCAAGUUGCUGAAACUGGGAUCGCACUCUUUCCCACCAAGAUCAUAGAUCCUCCUAAGUUUUGUCUUUCUAAAACAGAGUUGGUAAUUUUUAUUUUAUUCUUUACAGCAUGACACAUUCGAGGGCGCUGUUGACGAGCUCCUCGAGGCUGCUGGAAUGCUUGGGACGCCUCCAUUUCACCGUCUUCUCUAAAACGUCGCAAGAACCUGGCGUCCUUUGCCACCAAGCUGUUCAGAAGCUCUACGCUAUAUCGCCGGAUACGAUUCAAGCUCCUAGAAGGUGCUGUCUGGGAUAGAAGCUCUGUGAUUUUUUCGCAAAGCCGUGAUUGUUGCGAUAGCACGCCUUGUUCAAAGUUACGUGUGUCGAGCCAGGGGAUUAUGGCUGCUGCCAAACCGAUGGCUGCCUGCUGUUCCUUGUCCGUGGAUUCCAGCACCAUCUGGAUGAUGCGAGAUAUGGCUGCUCCAAGCUCCAACUUUUCUUCGUCGUUAAGGUCACCGCACAAGCUUCGCAAAAUUGUGGCUGCAUGGACUCCAACUGGCUUGCUUUUGUGCAUGAGGAGCCUCGAGCAAUUAUUGGGACACUGGAGAACGAGCACAACUAUGGCUUCCCCGGCUCCAAUGGCGAUGGUCAACUUGUUUGGUGCGGUUUCUCUCGCAAAUAUGGCCAUCAAGCUUUGGAUAACUCCUCCAGUCGCGCCAAUGCAAUCUCUAAGCUCGUCCUCGGUUGCUAGCAGCUUGAUCACGUCUACUGCCAGUGACCGUCCAGAAUCUCCUCCCACGCGAGCCAAUGUCCUCAAAAGCUCGAGUGAUCGACGGAAUACUUCUCUCGACGUUUGUGCUCUGGGGAAGUGCCAGUCUUCGUCUUGGAUAAAUUCAACCAGGAUGGAGAUAAGUCCGCUGGUGUUACCGAUUCGCACGCAUAUCCUGUGGUCCACGGCUAGCCCGUUGAGGAUAGUGAGUCUGUAGCUCUUUUCUUCUAGCACUUCCUCCUCUCUUGCGGCUAAAAGAGCAGUGAGGGCCUCCAGGGAUCCAGGGAUAGCGGAAAUCCUGAAGCAGUUACGGCGGUGACGAACCAGGUGAUCAUCUCUAAGAGUCUCUCCACAACUCCGGGCGUGGUACCAAUCCUCCGUCGCGUUUCUUUUAUUGAAUCUCCUUUUGAGACAAGAGCUGACAGUAUGUUGACGCUACCGAGCUGCUCUUCCCUUAUGCUUGACUGCAGCUUCUCGACGGUGAAAUCGAUAAGGUCCAUUCCCAGGCCAUCAAACACGCUUCCGUUCAGCGAUCGUGAGUACAAUGUGUACCAGUACUGCUUCAUGGUUUCAAUGUCGACUUGAUCAAGCUCACACGUUCGAGUGACUACUUCCAGCAACCUCUGGUAACGAAGCUUGAAUUCCCAAUAUGCUCUCUCCAGGAGGAAUAGCGACGUUUCUGCCAGCAUCAUCGCGUAAAACACCAAGCAAGCUGGAGCAAGUACAUGAAAAGGCUGAUGAUCCUGGUGGGGAGGAACUUUACAUACGGCAGGAGCGGGACGCUUCCCACGGACCAAGUUCUUCGGGCACCGAAUCCCUGGGUGGUCACGGUCGAAGGCUGCAGAGAACGUCUGCCUUAAUCUGGCGCUCUUGUCGAACACGAACGAUCUGAAGCCGAGAAUUCCCAAGCUGUAAUUUGCCUGCUGCCAUUCCAACUCGCUACUUCGACUGAAAACCCGCGUUCCUUCAGUCAGCAGCACGGCCGAUAUCGUCCAAAAGUCUUUGGCCUGAAUGUUGCUCACGAAUCCACCGAGGAGAACAACAGUUGCCCAGACGAAGGCCAGUUUCCCGAGGCCAGUGGCGAACUUUUCAAGAACUGCGAGCCUGAAAGCUAUCAGAUUGAGACGCUGCUCUGGUGAUUGGGAAUUAGCUGAAGGCUGGGCAGUGGAAGACUGCUGCCCUCGUCGUCUUAAUAACUGCAUUUCACUGGAGCUGAAGGCUUGGGAGUGGAAGACUGCUGCUCGACUUCCGGAUGUGGAGAAAAAACCGACCACAACUCACUGGUGUUGAGGGUUCUAGUGCCUGAAGGUGGAGAAGGUGGAGUAGCGAGAGCAGAGCCGGAAGAAGGAACUUGAAUGGUUAUCUCGUCCGCAAAGUGAACGGUACUCUUGGGGGCACCGGCAGACUGUCUGCUGUUCCUCGAAUCCAUGUUUAGUGUAUUGACGACUUCAAAGCCGCUUGAAUGUCUUUCUCAUGUUGCUGGCA